UACGAAGGGUGCAAGCGUUACUCGGAAUUACUGGGCGUAAAGCGUGCGUAGGUGGUUCGUUAAGUCUGUCGUGAAAGCCCCGGGCUCAACCUGGGAAUGGCGAUGGAUACUGGUGAGCUAGAGUGCGGUAGAGGAGAGUGGAAUUCCCGGUGUAGCAGUGAAAUGCGUAGAGAUCGGGAGGAACAUCAGUUGCGAAGGCGGCUCUCUGGACCAGCACUGACACUGAGGCACGAAAGCGUGGGGAGCAAACAGG
rnacentral:rRNA from 1 species